UAAGUGAGUACGAUCUUCCACCUUCUUCAUUUUUCUUCUUUGGUUGACUUGGUUCACCACCAUUUCAAUGUGUGUGUAAACCACAGCCUCUUUCACAUUCACAUUCUUCGCAACACCUAACACAUUCGAGAUCUCUUGAGUUUCACCCUCAACGGGAUAAACAUGACCCCUUUGGUUCCCAGUGAUUUGCUGAUUCUUCCACUGAAUUUGGUUUUCCAUCUCAACUUUUUCUUUCUUCAUAUCAUGCAUGUGGCUUUUCAAUUCUCCAUGUCUCGUUUUGGUUUUCAUAUGAAUGCUAGAGGUAAAAUUUUGGAUUUGAUCUCCACGUUGUCUCUCAUCAUUCUUGUUAUUGUAAUUUGAUUUCCGCUUCGAUUUACUAACUUUUUUGUUUAUUUCUUGGCUAUUGAUGUUGAUUUUUCGAGCUCUACCUUACUUGGUGGAGUUAAGGUUGUCACCAUCCCUUUUCCUAUUAUGCACGUGGUUAUCGUGACCCUUCUAGAUUUGGACCUUCAUGUUGUUACAAGGUUCUAUCCUUGUCAAUGUUAUCUUAUUUUUUCUGAAUUCCAGAGGACUCGCCUUUGUACAUAAGUUUUCUACCCCAAUUGCUAUUUUUUUAUGCAGUCUCAAGUUAUUGUAGCCUUUUUAGCGUAAGUAUCCUCUUUGGUGUCACUUUCCAUAUUGCAUUUCUCUUUACCUUUGUUUCUCGUUUGAUUCUUCUCAUAAUUUAUUUUGAUGUUGUGCAUGUAGGCAUGAGCUUCACAUCUUCCAUCAACAUCAUAUUUGUCUCUAUUGUCUUUGAUGUAAAUUCAUGUACCAUUCCUCCUGUUCUUCUUCUUUUGAAUCUAAUUUUCUUUUACUACUUGAUUAGAAGUAUGGUGCUUGUUGCUAUAAAGGUGCCUCUGUUGGUGCAGUCUCCCCUUGUUGAACUCUCUGUUUCUGCUCUGAUUGUUCAGUAUCUAGUUAUUCUUUUGAUUGGUGUUUCUAAUUUGAGUAUCUUAAGGUUGUGUCUGAUUCUGGCGCUUCUCCUUCUUGUCUUUAUUGGUAAUGUUUUGAUUUGACUGACACUCUGCUUUUUCACCAUUGUUGUGUUUGUUACCGAUGAUGAUUAUUGACAUUCUAUAGGAUUUUAUCCUUAUCAAUGUUAGUUUCUUCUUUCUGGUCCCCAGAGGACUAUCCAAUAUAUCUAGUUCUUCAGUUCCAAUUACUAUUGUUAA